UUGUCCAGAAACUCACUCUGGUCAGAGAGAAUUCUACAGCCUUGUUGUGAACUUCUGUCUCCACUGCGUAGUGAAUAAAACUCAUCUGAACCAGCCACAGAACUGGACCUGAAGGAAUAUUUCUUCUACAAUAUGGCGUUGUCUGCAACUCGCAAACCUUGGGCUAAUGGGCAUCUGUUAACUGGAUGGAGUGAUUCUGAAUAUUCAAAGGCCAGUAACCGCUCUCCAUGACAUGGCUGCCUUACAAGCUGCCACCAACACCUCUGAGUGGACUGCCUGGUAGUCAGCUGGUUGUGUUCUCACUGAUGGGUUGUGGCACUCCUACGACGGCCGGCUAGUUGCCCCAUGUCCCCUGCUUCCUCAACUCGCAAGUGUGGCACAUAAACAGACAUUGGUUUGCUCCUGGUAUAGCAAUAAUUUGUGAACAAAUUUGUCAAAGAUGUGUAACAUGUCAACAGCAUAAUCCAGGAAAACCUAUAUAGACAAUCCAAGCAGCUUAUCCUCCCCCCUGGGGACCCUUUGUAAAUAUGCAAAUAGACUUUAUACAAAUGCCAAAAUGCUGUGGUUAUGAAUGUGUUCUUGUGAUUGUUGGUAUUUUUUCAAAAUGGACUGAAGUCUUUGCAAGCAGAAAAGCAGUCGCCAGAACAGUGGCUAAGGUACUGAUCAGAGACAUUGUGUGCUGAUUUGGGAUCCCGCACAGCAUUAACACUGACAGAGACACCCAUUUCACCUCAUCUGUCUCACAAGAACUCUGCAAGGUGCUUCAAAUCAAACAAUGUUUUCACACCCCUUCCCAGCCAUAAUCUGCCAUUGCUGUGGAAAGACAGAAUGGAGUGCUGAAAAACAAACUUGCCUGAUGCCCUGCCCAUUGCUUUAAUGACUAUGAGAAGCACAGUUAACAGAAAGACAAAACUAUCACCCCAUGAGAUUCUAAUGGGCAGACCAAUGUCAACUCCGACCACACUUAGACCUUACACUCACAAGUAAUCGCACCCCAGGCUUCUCCCAACAUCCCAACUGUCACAACAUCCAGCCUGGUGACUUCGUCUACGUGAAGGAGUACAAAAGAAAGAACACUCUCCAGCCCAGGGGGACUGGUCUAUUCCAAGUACUGCUGACCACCAACACCACUGUGAAGUGUGAAGGACACCCCACAUGGAUCCAUGCUUCCUACUGCAAAAGAUCUACGGCCCCACAGGCUGUCGACAUCAACAAGCUUUCAUCUGACCGGAUGCCGACGCAGGACACCAACACUGCUGCUGCUGAUUACCCUCACAACCAGAUUAUUUCUUCUAUGGCUCCUUGACACUGUCAGCACGAACCAGGGGAACAGAGGGUUGUUCUGAAAAAAACCCCUUUUAAAUCUGAACCCACUGACCCACCAGAAAAGAGCAUGCUAAGGAUAGCUCGGCCCUCCUUGGAUGCAUUCUCCGUUCUUCGACAGAGGCAAGACACUGUACCUGCUAAAAUUCCCACACAUGACCAAACAAUUUCCACAAACACUUAUCUUGACUAGAAUGGUAGCUGAUCACAGUCCAAAUUCUACCAACUGUUACGUGUGUGGAUUCAUCCCCCAUAGUACCAAUUAGGGCCUCCCCCUAAUGGCUUUGCCCACCCCUGACUGUGACACAUGCCAUCUACUCCACCUAAAUACAAAUACAGCUUACACCCAUGAACUGUGCCCAGUUGCACCUGUGAUGAGAGCCCCUACCCUGCAAAACUUUCACAAGCGAGUGUCAGACAUGCACUGAUGCCCCUGCUGCCAUCCCUCUUAGUAUAGUUCCACGACCAUUAAAAUGGUGCAUCAGAGGCACUGGAAGUGGUCAUAAUAUGGGAGUUUCAAAUUGUGACUCUGUGUGUUCUCCAGAACCAAGGAAGUCUUCAAGAAUUUGGACAUCAGACUAUCAUCUCCAGACUACAGUUUGUGUCACAAUAGACAUUUAUUUUGAUGGAUUGCUUCCUUUUGCUCUGUCCCCGCAGGAAAAAGAAUGUACUGGAUAUGUGGACUAAAGGAAUAUGACGACCUUCCUAAGGGAUGGAGUAGAGUGUGCGGCCUACGCUAUGUAGUCCCAGCAAUGCAAGUAGUUAACUUGCCUUCAGUUCCUUCAGGAUUAAGCUCACCCAGAUCCAUGGCUCCACCCAGAUGUGGAGGCGUCUAUUUCGCAUGCUCAUUCCCAGUUCAGAAUCAGAAUCAGAAAUACUUUAUUGAUCCCCGUAGGGAAACUCUUAUGGUGUGUUGUCAUCUCUGAAUCAGAUAAAAGAUCUUUCCAAAUGAAUAGAAGAUCUAGCUAACACUACUUCCCUGGUUAUGUCUCUCCUAGCAACAGAGUUGGCUGCAACCCGUCUGAUUGCUUUACAGAAUUGAGCAGCUUUAGAUUAUCUCUUAGCAUCCCAGGGAUCAUUUGAUUGUGAUCUCUAAUUAAGUAUUGUCCUAUAAAGGACAAAAGGGGGAAAUGUAGAAGAAAAUAGUUUUAUUUUUUAUUUUUUCUUCUUGUAUUGUCUUUGAUCAAAUCCUUUCUAUAUGACAGUGAGCUCUGUGUUUAGAUACAGUAUUUUACAUUGAUUAAAUCUUCAUUUACCUGCCUUUCCAUAUGACAGCUGUGUUGAGAUAAACUAAUUUGCCUUGAUUAACAGACUUUUGUGAGUGAAAACCCUUUGUUGUACUAUGAGGAGAGCACAGGCCAGCCCUGUGAGGAGUCACACCUUAACUAUCAUGUGAACCCAACUUGUUCUAGAAUCUCAACCGCUCUCCCUUUGGUCUUUUAUCAUUUUUUUGUCACAACAGCAAUCCAGGUAACACUUUAGUGUAACCUGUUUUGUCCAGGAAGCCUGGAAGUCAAUUCACCUUUUCUACUUUGUGAAUCAGAUUUGUAUUGAUGUAAAUCCACUCAGACAGACUUGCGAGUUGGAUCUCUCCUACGCCCUCCUGCUGGGGCUGACACAGAAUACACAUCUUGGGUGCUGGUAGUUUCAGUGUCUCUUUUUCCUCCUCAGAGAAUUGGCUUAGCCCAGCCCACACCUUUUGUUUAGGUCUUUGUUUCCUGUAACCAUGUAUAUAAUUUUGUUCAGAAACUCACUCUGGUCAGAGAGAAUACAGCCUUGUUGUGAACUUCUGUCUCCACUGCACAGUGAAUAAAACUCAUCUGAACCAGCCACAGAA